rnacentral:sRNA from 1 species
GCGCCUCGCGGCGUCGCGGCGCGCCGUCUCCCCCUCGUCACGCGAGCGCGAGCUUCGUGGCGUCGGGUUUCCACACGAUGCAUCACCUGAAUGACUGAGUCCCGAAUAGACUUGGAUGGAGGAGUGGGUGCGUUUCGUGCCCUCGAGCGAGCUCGGGGUGCGCGGCGCGCGCCGGUUACCUUACGACGAGUUGAAACUUAACAAAGAACAACUCUCAGCAACGGAUAUCUUGGCUCUUGCAACGAUGAAGAACGCAGCGAAAUGCGAUACGUAGUGUGAAUUGCAGAAUUCCGCGAAUCAUCGAGUCUUUGAACGCAAGUUGCGCCCGAGGCUUGUCCGAGGGCAUUUCCGCUAGAGCGUCACCGCGCCCCCCACCGAUCCGCUCCCGCCGCGAGGCGCGACGCGUGUCGAGUGGAAGUGGCCGUCCCUGCGAAGCGGCCUUCUUUCACGAGGAGUCCGCACUUGGCUAAGGGUCGGCUGAAAUGGAUGGAAUCGGGCCGCCGUGGUGACACAGUCCGCGAUCGGGUGAUUUCGUCGCGAGCCUCCUCCGUGAGGCUCUCGUUGAAUUUUUCUAAGUGCUUGGCUGCGUCCCCCAGUUGGCUCGGGUUACCUCAUGCAGGUCGAGCGCGCCCCCGCGGCGCGCGUCACGCAUCAGAC